AUGAACGCUGGCGGCGUGCCUAAUACAUGCAAGUCGCGCGAACAGAUAAGGAGCUUGCUCCUUUGACGUUAGCGGCGGACGGGUGAGUAACACGUGGGUAACCUACCUAUAAGACUGGGAUAACUUCGGGAAACCGGAGCUAAUACCGGAUAACAUUUGGAACCGCAUGGUUCUAAAGUGAAAGAUGGUUUUGCUAUCACUUAUAGAUGGACCCGCGCCGUAUUAGCUAGUUGGUAAGGUAACGGCUUACCAAGGCAACGAUACGUAGCCGACCUGAGAGGGUGAUCGGCCACACUGGAACUGAGACACGGUCCAGACUCCUACGGGAGGCAGCAGUAGGGAAUCUUCCGCAAUGGGCGAAAGCCUGACGGAGCAACGCCGCGUGAGUGAUGAAGGGUUUCGGCUCGUAAAACUCUGUUAUUAGGGAAGAACAAAUGUGUAAGUAACUGUGCACGUCUUGACGGUACCUAAUCAGAAAGCCACGGCUAACUACGUG
rnacentral:rRNA from 1 species